rnacentral:rRNA from 1 species
AUUGAACGCUGGCGGCAGGCCUAACACAUGCAAGUCGAGCGGAGCGGCGGGCGGGCGGGUGAUGCAUAGGAAUAAGCCUGGUAGUGGGGGAUAAAGACCGGAAGCAGGCGCUAAUACCGCAUACUAUCAAUUGAGCCUGGGUGGGAGUAGCUAGUUGGUGGGGUAAAGGCCUACCAAGGCGACGAUCCGUAGCUGGUCUGAGAGGAGGAUCAGUCACACUGGAACUGAGACACGGUCCAGACUCCUACGGGAGGCAGCAGUGGGGAAUAUUGGACAAUGGGCGAAAGCCUGAUGCAGCCAUGCCGCGUGUGUGAAGAAGGCCUUCGGAUUGUAAAGCACUUUAAGCUGGGAGGCGUUACCAACAGAAUAAGCACCGGCUAACUCCGUGCCAGCAGCCGCGGUAAUUC